rnacentral:rRNA from 1 species
UACGGAGGGGGCUAGCGUUGUUCGGAAUUACUGGGCGUAAAGCGUGCGCAGGCGGUCUGCUAAGAGAGGUGUGAAAUCCCCGGGCUUAACCUGGGAACUGCGCUUCUAACUGGCAGGCUUGAGUGUGGCAGAGGGGGGUGGAAUUCCAGGUGUAGCGGUGAAAUGCGUAGAUAUCUGGAGGAACACCGGUGGCGAAGGCGGCAUCCUGGACCGGCAUUGACGCUGAGGAGCGAAAGCCAGGGGAGCAAAGCGGG